rnacentral:lncRNA from 1 species
CUACAUCUCCGCAUUUGCUUCAUCCGUUCAUCUUUCUUUCUCUUCUGAAAAGCUUUGCCUACUCAUCGUCUUUUUCUUCAAUCUCUAUUUCAUAGUCUUCCAUCUUCAGGUACUGAGUUACCCUAUAAGUCCAGCACCAGAUAACGUCCUGUCAAUCUAAAUUUUUGAAAUGUUACAUUAGAAGACUAUACAUCGAUAAGCC